ACGUAGGUGGCAAGCGUUGUCCGGAUUUAUUGGGCGUAAAGCGAGCGCAGGCGGUCUCUUAAGUCUGAUGUGAAAGCCCCCGGCUCAACCGGGGAGGGUCAUUGGAAACUGGGAGACUUGAGUGCAGAAGAGGAGAGUGGAAUUCCAUGUGUAGCGGUGAAAUGCGUAGAUAUAUGGAGGAACACCAGUGGCGAAGGCGGCUCUCUGGUCUGUAACUGACGCUGAGGCUCGAAAGCGUGGGGAGCAAACAG
rnacentral:rRNA from 1 species